rnacentral:rRNA from 1 species
UACGUAGGGUGCGAGCGUUGUCCGGAAUUAUCGGGCGUAAAGAGCUCGUAGGCGGUCUGUCGCGUCGGUCGUGAAAACUUGGGGCUUAACCCUGAGCUUGCGGUCGAUACGGGCAUGACUGGAGUUCGGCAGGGGAGACUGGAAUUCCUGGUGUAGCGGUGAAAUGCGUAGAUAUCAGGAGGAACACCGGUGGCGAAGGCGGGUCUCUGGGCCGAUACUGACGCUGAGGAGCGAAAGCGUGGGGAGCGAACAGG